rnacentral:lncRNA from 1 species
GUGGAUCUAAAGGGGGGCUAGAGGGGCUCUAGCCAAGGAGAGGAGGAAGAAAAGAGAGAGGAGGAGUAAGACAAAGAGGAAGAAGAUGGGGAGGAGGAAGAAGGAUGGGGUGGAUGAGCCCCGCUGCCUGCUGGUCUGCAUCCACCAUUGUGUGUCUCCCACCCACCAUUUCCAAAUUGUUUAGUAUUUCAUUAACUCGUGGUGCCUUGAUCACCAUAUGUUUGCUAGUCAAUGUGGUAGUGACAAUCUACUUCCCUCAUUUGCUCAUUUUUUAUAACAUUAAAUAGCACAAUGAACAUUGAAUGAGAAAAAUAAAUGCCUUUGAAAAUUGAUUUACAUGGAGCACCGUCCGACUGUUAAUAAAAGAAUAUUUUUGAAGCGGAGCAAAAAAAAAA